rnacentral:rRNA from 1 species
GAAAGUGAAAGGCCAGGUGGCUUCAACCCUUUGUAAGCUUUUUGGAACUGAUAGACUUGAGUGCAGGAGAGGUAAGUGGAAUUCCCUAGUGUAGAGGUGAAAUUCGUAGAUAUUAGGAGGAACACCAGUGGCGAAGGCGACUUACUGGACUGUAACUGACGCUGAGGCACGAAAGCGUGGGAGCGAACAGGAUUAGAUACCCUGGUAGUCCACGCCGUAAACGAUGAGUACUAGGUGUCAGCCCUGCAGGGGUUGGUGCCGCAGCUAACGCAAUAAGUACUCCGCCUGGGGAGUACGGUCGCAAGACUGAAACUCAAAGGAAUUGACGGGGACCCGCACAAGUAGCGGAGCAUGUGGUUUAAUUCGAAGCAACGCGAAGAACCUUACCAAAUCUUGACAUCCCAGAGACCGAUCAGUAAUGUGAUCUUUCCCUUCGGGGACUGUGGUGACAGGUGGUGCAUGGUUGUCGUCAGCUCGUGUCGUGAGAUGUUGGGUUAAGUCCCGCAACGAGCGCAACCCUUAUGUUUAGUUGCCAUCAGUUAGGCUGGGCACUCUAGACAGACUGCCGUGGACAACACGGAGGAAGGUGGGGAUGACGUCAAAUCAUCAUGCCCCUUAUGAUUUGGGCUACACACGUGCUACAAUGGUCGGUACAACAGGCAGCGAAAGAGCGAUCUGGAGCAAAUCCUCUAAAGCCGAUCCCAGUUCGGAUUGUAGGCUGAAACUCGCCUACAUGAAGUUGGAGUUACUAGUAAUCGUGGAUCAGAAUGUCGCGGUGAAUGCGUUCCCGGGUCUUGUACACACCGCCCGUCGCACCAUGGAAGUUGGGGGCGCCCGAAGUCAGUGACCUAACCGUAAGG